GAAUUCUAUCGAACUUGCAAAAGGGGACGUAUUUAUGCUAAAGUAUGUAAUAUAAAAUCACAAAUGAAGAUUGCUUUAUCUGAGUCCACAACACCCACAUCGUCGUCAAGUUAUGAGGAGUCUCAAUUUGUGCCUGAAGAAGAUUACGAAACAAUAAGAAAUUCUUUGACAGAUGACAAGCUAAAUGAAGACGAAUAUAUGGACUAUUGGAAAAAAUGUAGCCAGUAUCGAUUUUCACAAAUAGAUAAAUGCAAAACUGCUGCAAAUAUUUUCAAAAUUUGGCCAGAGUACACAAACGCAAAUGGGAUUCGUAUGUUUGACAUUGAUUUUUCUAUCAAAUAUCCAAACUCUGGAAAUAUUCAUGAAAUCUGGGCAUUAAAAUCGAACAAUAUUGAGACUUUAUUAAAAGAGAAAAUUUCAGGAAAAAGCACAAAUGGAUUUAAUUUAAAUUCUAUAAAUGAGGAGACUAGAG